GCUAAUUUUAGAUCUGCAGCGGGAUUACAUUGUUUGUAAGGGCUCAAUAGUCUCUAGGAUCUGACUCGUAGUACUUUUACGGUUAUAAUUUCAAGUUUUCAACCAAACAAAGUGAUUUGUUAAUUUUAUUAUGGCAUUUUUCUUGGUAAUUAAUAUUGAAAAAGUAGAUUGCUCAACUGGGUAAUUGGGAAUUUGAACCUCUU
rnacentral:misc_RNA from 1 species